GACGAACGCUGGCGGCGUGCUUAACACAUGCAAGUCGAACGGUGAACUCCGCUUGCGGGGGGUUCAGUGGCGAACGGGUGCGUAACACGUGGGCAACCUGCCCUCAGCUCUGGGAUAACUCCAAGAAAUUGGGGCUAAUACCGGAUAUGACCGCUGACCGCAUGGUCUGGUGGUGGAAAGAUUUAUCGGCUGGGGAUGGGCCCGCGGCCUAUCAGCUUGUUGGUGGGGUAGUGGCCUACCAAGGCGACGACGGGUAGCCGGCCUGAGAGGGUGACCGGCCACACUGGGACUGAGACACGGCCCAGACUCCUACGGGAGGCAGCAGUGGGGAAUAUUGCGCAAUGGGCGAAAGCCUGACGCAGCGACGCCGCGUGGGGGAUGACGGCCUUCGGGUUGUAAACCUCUUUCAGCAGGGACGAAGCGAAAGUGACGGUACCUGCAGAAGAAGCACCGGCCAACUACGUG
rnacentral:rRNA from 1 species